GCCUGGGUAGCUCAGUUGGUUAAGUGUCUGACUUCGGCUCAGGUCAUGAUCUCACGGUUCGUGGGUUUGAGCCCCAUGUCGGGCU
rnacentral:tRNA from 1 species